CCUACCUGUUUUCCAAAAACUAUCAGUGGAUCAUAUUUGCUAUGACAUUAAAUGUAACUGUGACUUGGCUUUUAAAGCCUUUCAAAAUCCAGCUCCACCAUGCCUUUCUGAAUUCACUCCCUAAAGCUCCAUAAUCCUGAGUAAAUUCUCAUUUCAAUUGGAAUCAUGAUAUGGGAAAUGGUGUCACAGAGACAAUCUUGCUCUAUUCC
rnacentral:lncRNA from 1 species